rnacentral:rRNA from 1 species
AAUAUUGCGCAAUGGAGGGAACUCUGACGCAGCGACGCCGCGUGCGCGAUGAAGGUUUUCGGAUCGUAAAGCUCUUUCCUUGGGGAAGACGGUCUUCGGACUGGACGGUCCCUAAGGAGGUAGCCCCGGCUAACUACGUGCCAGCAUCCGCGGUAAUUCGUCGGGGGCAAGGGUUGUCCGGAAUUAUUGGGCGUAAAGGGUGGGUAGGCGGACUUUUAAAUCAGGUGUGAAAGCCCACGGCUUAACCGUGGGAUUGCAUUUGAAACUGGAAGGCUUGAGUAUCGGAGAGGGUAGUGGAAUUCCCAGUGUAGCGGUGGAAUGCGUAGAUAUUGGGAGGAACACCAGUGGCGAAGGCGACUACCUGGACGAAAACUGACGCUGAGGCACGAAAGCUAGGGGAGCAAAC